AGUGAACGCUGGCGGUAGGCCUAACACAUGCAAGUCGAACGGCAGCACAGUAAGAGCUUGCUCUUACGGGUGGCGAGUGGCGGACGGGUGAGGAAUACAUCGGAAUCUACUUUUUCGUGGGGGAUAACGUAGGGAAACUUACGCUAAUACCGCAUACGACCUACGGGUGAAAGCAGGGGAUCUUCGGACCUUGCGCGAUUGAAUGAGCCGAUGUCGGAUUAGCUAGUUGGCGGGGUAAAGGCCCACCAAGGCGACGAUCCGUAGCUGGUCUGAGAGGAUGAUCAGCCACACUGGAACUGAGACACGGUCCAGACUCCUACGGGAGGCAGCAGUGGGGAAUAUGGGGCAAUGGGCGCAAGCCUGAUCCAGCCAUACCGCGUGGGUGAAGAAGGCCUUCGGGUUGUAAAGCCCUUUUGUUGGGAAAGAAAAGCAGCAGGUUAAGACCCCGCUGUUCGGACGGGACCCAAAGAAUAAGCACCGGCUAACUUCGU
rnacentral:rRNA from 1 species